CGGCCCGGCGUGUCUCUCGUUAAAUCCACAGGCCUAACCUGUGGGCUGCGGGAGAUACUGCCGGGCUUGGGGGUGGGAGAGGCGCCCGGUAUUCCCAGGGUAGGGGUAAAUCCUCUGAUCCUGGGAGGACCACCAGUGGCGAAGGCGGGGCGCCAGAACACGCCCGACGGUGAGGGGCGAAAGCUGGGGGAGCAAACGGGAUUAGAUACCCCGGUAGUCCCAGCUGUAAACGAUGCGGGUUAGGUGCCGGGACGGCUACGAGCCGCCCCGGUGCCGAAGGGAAGCCAUUAAGCCCGCCGCCUGGGGA
rnacentral:rRNA from 1 species